rnacentral:rRNA from 1 species
GACGAACGCUGGCGGCGUGCCUAAUACAUGCAAGUUGAGCGAUCAGGCUUGGUGCUUGCUCCAAUUUGGAGAGCAGCGGACGGGUGAGUAACACGUGGGGAAUCUGCCUUUGAGCGUGGGACAACAUUGGGAAACGAAUGCUAAUACCGCAUAAUAUCUUUAACCAUAAGUUUUAAGUUUGAAAGAUGCUAUUGCAUCACUCAAAGGUGAUCCCCCGUUGUAUUAGCUAGUUGGUGAGGUAAAGGCUCACCAAGGCGAAGAUACAUAACCGGACUGAGAGGGUGGACGGCCACAAUGGGAAUGGGACACCGCCCCAACUUCCUACGGAAGCAGCAGGAGGGAAAUUUUGGCAAAGGACGGAAGGCCGAACGGGCCACGCCGGGGGAGGGAAGAAGGGUCUUGGGUCGGUAAAACCGGGUGGUAGGGAAGAAAGUGAGGGGGAGGGGAAAGUGCACGAAGUGACGGUAACUAAUCAGAAAGACACGGCUAACUACGUG